rnacentral:rRNA from 1 species
GGUAAGACGAGGGAUCCUAGCGUUGUUCGGAAUUAUUGGGCGUAAAGCGGGUGUAGGUGGCUAUGUAAGUCAAGUGUGAAAGCCUGGGGCUCAACCCCAGAAGUGCAUUUGAUACUGCGUAGCUUGAGUGCUAGAGAGGAUAGUAGAAUUGUUGGUGUAGUGGUGAAAUACGUAGAUAUCAACAGGAAUACCGGUGGCGAAGGCGGCUAUCUGGCUAAGCACUGACACUCAGGCCCGAAAGCGUGGGGAUCAAACAGGAUUAGAUACCCUGGUAGUCCACGCCGUAAACGAUGGAUACUUGUUGUUGGAGGUAUCGACCCCUUCAGUGACGAAGCUAACGCGUUAAGUAUCCCGCCUGGGGAGUACGGCCGCAAGAUUAAAACUCAAAGAAAUUGACGGGGGCCCGCACAAGCGGUGGAGCAUGUGGUUUAAUUCGAUGCAACGCGAAGAACCUUACCUAGGCUUGGCAUGUACUGGAAG